rnacentral:rRNA from 1 species
GACUUGGAGGUUGUGGCUUCCGGAGCUAACGCGUUAAGUCGACCGCUGGGGAGUACGGCCGCAAGGUUAAACUCAAAUGAAUUGACGGGGGCCCGCACAAGCGGUGGGCAGUGGUUUAAUUCGAUGCAACGCGAAGAACUUACCUGGUCUUGACAUCCAGGUGCUGCAUGGCUGUCGUCAGCUCGUGUUGUGAAAUGUUGGGUUAAGUCCCGCAACGAGCGCAACCCUUAUCCUUUGUUGCAACUCAAAGGAGACUGCCAGUGAUAAACUGGAGGAAGGUGGGGAUGACGUCAAGUCAUCAUGGCCCUUACGACCAGGGCUACACACGUGCUACAAUGGCGCAUACAAAGAGAAGCGACCUCGCGAGAGCAAGCGGACCUCAUAAAGUGCGUCGUAGUCCGGAUUGGAGUCUGCAACUCGACUCCAUGAAGUCGGAAUCGCUAGUAAUCGUGGAUCAGAUGCCACGGUGAAUACGUUCCCGGGCCUUGUACACACCGCCCGUCACACCAUGGGAGUGGGUUGCAAAAGAAGUAGGUUACCACUUUGUGAUUCAUGACUGGGGUGAGUGUAACAAGGAACCGAGGG